rnacentral:rRNA from 1 species
GUCCACGCCGUAAACGAUGGAUACUAGCUGUUGGGAGCAAUCUCAGUGGCUAAGCGAAAGUGAUAAGUAUCCCACCUGGGGAGUACGUUCGCAAGAAUGAAACUCAAAGGAAUUGACGGGGGCCCGCACAAGCGGUGGAGCAUGUGGUUUAAUUCGAUGAUACGCGAGGAACCUUACCAAGGCUUAAAUGUAGAUUGACCGGUUUGGAAACAGAUCUUUCGCAAGACAAUUUACAAGGUGCUGCAUGGUUGUCGU